GACGAACGCUGGCGGCGUGCUUAACACAUGCAAGUCGAACGGAAAGGCUCCAGCUUGCUGGAGUACUCGAGUGGCGAACGGGUGAGUAACACGUGGGUAACCUGCCCUGCACUCUGGGAUAAGCCUGGGAAACUGGGUCUAAUACUGGAUAUGACCUUUCUCCUUAUGGGGUUUGGUGGAAAGUUUUUCGGUGUAGGAUGAGCCCGCGGCCUAUCAGCUUGUUGGUGGGGUGAUGGCCUACCAAGGCGACGACGGGUAGCCGGCCUGAGAGGGUGAUCGGCCACAUUGGGACUGAGAUACGGCCCAGACUCCUACGGGAGGCAGCAGUGGGGAAUAUUGCACAAUGGGCGGAAGCCUGAUGCAGCGACGCCGCGUGAGGGAUGACGGCCUUCGGGUUGUAAACCUCUUUCAGCAGGGACGAAGCGUAAGUGACGGUACCUGCAGAAGAAGCACCGGCUAACUAUGUG
rnacentral:rRNA from 1 species